rnacentral:piRNA from 1 species
UGCAUCUCUGCCUGUUUUUUC